rnacentral:rRNA from 1 species
AGUGAACGCUGGCGGUAGGCCUAACACAUGCAAGUCGAACGGCAGCACAGUAAGAGCUUGCUCUUACGGGUGGCGAGUGGCGGACGGGUGAGGAAUACAUCGGAAUCUACUUUUUCGUGGGGGAUAACGUAGGGAAACUUACGCUAAUACCGCAUACGACCUACGGCUGAAAGCAGGGGAUCUUCGGACCUUGCGCGAUUGAAUUAGCCGAUGUCGGAUUAGCUAGUUGGCGGGGUAAAGGCCCACCAAGGCAACGAUCCGUAGCUGGUCUGAGAGGAUGAUCCGCCACACUGGAAAUGAGAAACGGUCCAGAAUCCUAAGGGAGGCAGCAGUGGGGAAUAUUGGAGAAUGGGGGCAAGCCUGAUCCAGCCAUAGCGCGUGGGUGAAGAAGGCCUUCGGGUUGUAAAGCCCUUUUGUUGGGAAAGAAAAGAAGCAGGUUAAUACCCCGCUGUUCUGACGGUAACCAAAGCAUAAGCACCGGCUAAAUUAGUG